GACGAACGCUGGCGGCGUGCUUAACACAUGCAAGUCGAGCGGUAAGGCCCUUUCGGGGGUACGACGAGCGGCGAACGGGUGAGUAACACGUGGGUGACCUGCCCUCAGCUCUGGGAUAAGCCUGGGAAACCGGGUCUAAUACUGGAUAUGACUCCAUGACGCAUGUUGUGGGGUGGAAAGCCUUGUGCGGCUGAGGAUGGGCCCGCGGCCUAUCAGCUUGUUGGUGGGGUGANGGCCUACCAAGGCGACGACGGGUAGCCGGCCUGAGAGGGCGACCGGCCACACUGGGACUGAGACACGGCCCAGACUCCUACGGGAGGCAGCAGUGGGGAAUCUUGCGCAAGUGGGCGAAAGCCUGACGCAGCGACGCCGCGUGAGGGAUGACGGCC
rnacentral:rRNA from 1 species